GUUAACUUUUAGAAAGUAUUCUCGCACCGUAUAAAUACAUCUCAUUUUUCUCUGUUUUGUCAGUAGUUGUUUUUGGUAUUAUUCGUGCAACGUGGAAGCUAACUUAGUGGUUUGGUGUUCGUACAAAAAAGCAGUCCUAAAGAUCAUCUUAGUACUCUCAACCCGUAACCGCAAAUAGAAUAGCAGCCAAUCUUAAGCAUGGACUUAAGUCAACUGAAUCAAACCUGUCUUGCAGAAGGUGAUUUUGAGCAGCCGAUUGUCAAACUGCAUGAAUUGCCGAUAGGCGUUCCGUUUAAAAUUACUAGAGCCAAAAUUGUUAAUACAAAAUUUGGCAAUUCCGUGUUGCUGCAAUUAGAAAAUUCCGUAGUAUUUCUUCCUACUCGCGUGACAGAAGCUUUCCGUCCGAGACUAGAACACUUUGCGUCGGGGCAGUACAAACUGGUCUACGAGGGAUCCAAAGAUAUUGGAAAGCCCAACUCUUUAAAGAAAUUCAAAAUAAUUCAAAAUUAAUCAACAUAUUAUACAGGAUUAUGGUCAAACAACUUACAUUAGAAAGCCUUUGUAUUAUAACAAUUUGCGAAAAUAUUAGGUGUAGUGCUGAUUUUUUGCUUGAGUCACCUUUGCCUUGGAAACUAACGAUACUAAUAUUUAAAUAUUAUUCGAAAUAUAGAUGGAAGUACCUUAAACAAUUAGCGCUCCAGUCUGAUGGCAAUUCUUUAUUAAAUUUAGAAUUCAUUCUGUUGAAUAAGAGAUUUGGAUCGUCUUACAGAAAUAGCAUUUUGGCAACUCCAACCAUUGAUUUUGACGGAGAAUCCGCUUACUGUUUAUGGGUCAGUUAUUACAGGAUAAAAUAUUCGGAAAUUUUAGUUUGUAAAUCUUGUCACUUUAUAUUUCAACUAGUUAAAAAAUUUAAAAAGAAAAAUUUUAGACUUUUAUUGGAUCACUAUCAUUUACAGCUGGAUAUAAAUA